GGGGUUGGAGAUGAUUAGGUCUUUUUGUGGAAGAUUGAACGAGCAGAUUGGGGCGUAGAACUCCAAGGUGCAUUUAUUGUUCAGAUAUGAAUGGGUUUUUCUCAAACUGAGUAGCUAUGCUAGCAAUGUGAAUCUCUUCUUCUCCAGGACCCAACCACCCAAUCAAGCAGAUAGGAUUACUGAUCAUUUUACUGGUCAUUCCAUGUCGAGAUUUAUGAAGUUGCGAAUGGACUGAAGAACCUCUGAUAAGUUAUUGUUUGUGACCUCUCAGUGGUUGUUCCUGUUCAUUCUAGUUACUAUAGGAUUCUAUUUCUUUUGGACAACAUUUUUUUUUUUCUCAAUCUCUUAUGAAGUUAUGGCCUUUGGUAGAGAGGAAUGGUGGAACAGGAUUCAUGUAUCUGACCCCAAUUAAUUGGGAUAAGGCUUCAAUGAUGAUGAUGAUGAUUAUAAUAUUUUGGUAGAGAGCUGACCAUGAAUGUACACUUCUUACUGUUUUUUUUUUUUUUUUCCCUUCUUCUUCUGAUCAAUAUUUUCAUGUAUGCAGAGAACUCAGGAAUCAGGCCUCCUACUUUGAAUGUCUUCCCAUUUGUAAGUUUUGCACUUUGUCUUCGUCCAUUGGAUGGAAAGCUCUGGUCUAGCACACUUGGGUUUAUUUAUUGUAUCCAAGUGGUUUUCUACUUGUGGCAUUACAUGGGUUUAGUGCCACAAGUAGGAUUCUGCUUCCUUUAUGGUAUUUGGAUAAAAUUCUCUUUUCCUAUCCAAUGUUUCUUUAUGGUUUGGAAGCAGUACGUUCUUAAUGUAUUUUUUAAUUGCUUCAGGUGGAGUUGAAAUUCUCUAUAUAUACACUCCUGUAUGAUAUGAAUGGAUUGUUUAUUCAACCGAACAUGCCAGCUAUUUGAUUUAACAAACGCACGAGGGCUGCCUGAUGAGUAGACCUGCCUAAUUUGUAUUCAUGGUGAUCUUCCUGGGAGGGCCCACCUUAUGCAAGGUAGAGAUCUCACAAAAAUGUGCUAGGUUGGCACAUUUUACAGUGUGUGUUACGCUAACCUACAACCAGUUAAAGGUGAGAAUUCCUCUUCUAUUUUUCAAGGGGAAAAUGGUUUUUAAACGGGUUGAAUUCUAAGUUAAUAUUUUUAUAUCGUUGGCUAUGACAUAUCCCCUAUUAUUAAGUUAAUAUUAUCUAUGUUUGAAGAGGUUACAGAUUAAGUAUGUUAAAUUACUGGCUAUAUGUUAAUCACUGUGAAUUUUUUGCAAGUAAUCAAUGAAGAGAGCAGUUAAGUAGAUGGGUGUUUCAUGUUUGGGCCAUUGGGCCACGUGGAUUAUUGGAUCCAGUCUAUUGGAUUAGGACCAACCAUGGAUGGUGGAAGUCAUUAAAUCCUAAUUUACUAAAGAUCAUAUCUUCUCAAGACAAUGCCUUGUUUUUCCAACUGUUACUGUGUCUAUAAGCACUGAGUUUUUUUUUUUUUUUUCAAUCAGUUUUUACCUACCCACUGGAGAAGGCAGUGUCUCGGGAACAGAGGACUCAAAUAUAGCGCUGUAAUGAUGGCUAAGUAAGCGCCGAUCGUAUAUAAAAAAAAAAAGGAUGGUCAAGUAAGCGGUUCUCAUCGCUUCCCAAGAAAGCUCUGUGGAUAGAUGUUGAUUCUUCUGAAAUGGCAGAACUUAUCUUUGUUUUGUGAUGAUGGAUUGCUGUAAUGUAUAUGCUGUUUGAUUUAUCUCUAAUCAAUUCAAAUCAAAAUAUAGUGCAGGUGUUUGCCGAUAUAUCACUCUGCUUCAUGCUUGUGUCACUUGGUAUAUAAGUUCUUGUAAGUACCUAGUCAGCAAAGGAAUUCAUUCCUUUAAAAAAUAAAAAUAAAAAGGUGAUACUCCGAGGAUUUUCAUGGAAAUGUUUUAGGUGAUCUUGUUGUAUUGGGCACCUUAUCUCCAGAAUCCCAACAUAUUGUAUUCUCUUCACACAAACACCCAUAAAAAAUCAUAUAAGGUUCUAGUGCAGAUCCUAUUUUCUUCUUAACCUUGAAUGUACAGCAGUAAUGGAUAUAUCUGUAUUUUGGGGCACAUCAAAACAAUACCUGAAUUAAGCAGCACUAAUACCAGAGGUAUAAUGGGGACCUGUUGAAGCUUUUUUGAAUCAUUACAAGGUUCUAGUGCCCAGAACAAUGACAAGUUUGUUUAUUUUGGCAUUUGCUAACCCCAAACAAGUGUAUAAAUUCAGCCCCUCUGCACAACAGCAUGGAACGUGUGUGUGAUCCAGGCUGUCUAUCAGGUGGCCCCAUGACUUAAUUUUCAUGGCCCAAACAUCAGGUGCUCCACUUCCAAGAGGUCAGGUGCUUGCUAAAAAGGUGGUUGAACCCAUUGGUGAUCACAUAGAGGAUAAACCACAGUGUUUUGUGAAGGUGUGGGUUAGUAGUUUCAAUGAUGGGUGGAUCGUCUCCGCAUUUCCUAGUUGGGACCGGAAUGGAUUGCGCCUCGGUCACUUUUACAUCACACAUAGUGGACGUGUGAUCAUGGCCAGUGAGGUUGGUGUUGUAGACAUCUGCUAGAAGAUGUGGCCAGGAAAGGAAGACUUAAACCCUGGAAUGAUCAUACUGGUAGAUUUUGAGAAUCGUAUUGUUGUUGAUGAUGAGGCCUUGAAGCAGCAGUACUCUCUAGACAGAAAAUAGAACUUGAGGAUAUCAUAAAUUCUGUUCCUGAAGCUGAUAGAGUCCCACCUACCAUAUCUGGAACAGUGCCUGUAUAUUGACAUGAUGAUAAUAACAUGGAAAACAUGGGAAUUCAUGGAUUGUUGGCUCCAUUGAAGGCUUUUGGAUACACUGUAGAAGACCUGGAGAUGCUGUUGUUGCCCAUGGCAAAAGAUGGUACUGAGGCUCUUGGCUCAAUGGGAAAUGAUGCUCCUUUGGCUGUGAUGUCCAACAGAGAGAAACUUACAUUUGAGUAUUUCAAGCAGAUGUUUGCUCAGGUUACAAACCCACCGAUUGAUCCGAUCCAAGAGAAAAUAGUCACGUGGAAGGGGACCUGACUGAAACAGUUCAUGUGGAAGGCUAUGCGGUAGUUUGUUUGUUUUGAAAACUUAAAAUAGACCAUUAAUUGUUUUGUUGGUAUUGUGCUGAUUGUUGUCUUGAUGGAUGUUAAAUGGGUGAAACAUGCACAGGUUCAAUCAUUGGUUGAUUAUAAUAUUAUUAGCUUUUGUUGAUAGAAACUA